GGGCGUAGCUUAGUUUGGCUAGAGCACCUGGUUUGGGACCAAGGUGUCAAGAGUUCGAAUCUUUUCACGCACG
rnacentral:tRNA from 1 species